GCAAAAAGGGCACGGGGCAGAGGGACUAUGUUGUGAGCCUGCGAAAGAAGUUUGUGUGGGGACUGUGGGCAGUGAAUGCGUUGGGAACAAUAUGGAAAACUGGGAGCUGCCUUGGAAUCUACAGGGCCGGGCUGAAGAAAAGAAGAAUGGUAUUCAUGCAGUUCCCAUUUUACAGAUGAAAACAAGAGGACUUUUUCUGUGAAGUCAAGAAAGUGGUUACAAUGGUACUUUCAGCCUGUCCGAAUUAUGUAUUGCCCCUCCCCUUUUUAUUAAUAACAUUGAAGUGUGAUGGGACAACCACUGAAGCCGUCUGUUGAAACCUGCUGGGACUUUUUAGCCAUUCUCUUCAACAUAAAGAAUGGGUGUUUUUGGAGGGGGUGAGAGGAAUGGGGAAAUGUUGUCAAAGAGUACAAUGUUUUAGUUGAGACAGGAGGAAUAUAUUUUGUUGAGAUCUACAGCACAGCAUGGUGACUGUAGUUAACAAUGAAGUAUUGUGUAUUUCAAAAUUGCUAAGACAAUAAAUUUCAAAUGUUCUCACCACAAAAAA
rnacentral:lncRNA from 1 species